rnacentral:lncRNA from 1 species
UCAGAUAAUGAUUCUUUUUUUUUUGCGAUAAGGCUGUCAAUUAGUCCCAUCUUCUGAAGUCUUUCUUUCAUCGCCAUGUCCUUCUCUUUAAUCAACCACAUGCUCUGAAACUCUGACAAAGCCUUGCCAUCCAUCGAAGCCCUCUUACCUCUACUUUUUGCUGCCUUAACACCAGGUGGCCGGUUGCUUCCUUGGUCAUCUUCGACAGUGUUCCUUUCCUCUGCGUGAGAAAAUGAUGAAUGUGGACCAUCCUCACACCUUCUCCUUUUAAACAUUCCUUCAGUUUUAUUUGUAGAUAGCUCAUUCCACUUCUGGUCAUUGCGAAGCUCCUUCCAAGCAUGGUCAAGGGUAAAUUUUUUCUUGGUCGUUGUAGAAGAUUUCAUGUGCGAGUUUCAGGACAUUAUUGUCAUUCUGUCCAGAAGCUUUCUCUCUUGUUCCUGCCUCGUAAGAUCCACAAAACUUGCACAUCAAAUUAUUAAUUUUUUGCCACCGUUGCUUACAGUUGCUUGCUUCUCUUCUUUCUCGUUCUGCAGCUUUGGGACUAGUGGAAAAGUAUGCUGCUAUCUGUUUUCAGAAAGCACCAGACUUUUGCUUAUUGCCAACCACCGGGUCUUUGCUAGUGUUUAGCCAUGCGCUGAUGAGCAAGACAUUAUCUGUAAGGGUCCACUUCCUCUUUUCUCUACGCUCUGCAGUAGUGUCUUCAUUGUAGCUUGAAGCUUCUGUGCAUUGACUGCUAAAGAGAGGGAUUUAGUCGAGAGAAGGAAAGGGAUCAUGAAGGGUAUGUUCUUGUUGACUGUUUAACAGGUCAACAAAGUUGGAGGAUUGAGUAUAUGGAUUCGAAGAAGAGAAAUCUAUGGAGAAAGAAAAGAAGUGAUUGUGUUUAUAAGAAAAGAAAGAGAACAAGCACAAUAAAAAAAAAGAACAAUGUGGUUGAUAGGUGAUGAAAAGAGAGAGAACAAGCACUAGUGUUUAUAGUAGAAAACAUAGGAAGAGAAAAAGCAAUUAAAUAAGCUUUGAAGCAUUCAUAACCCAUUAAUCACAUCGAGUAGACAUAUAUCUAACAAGUAGAUAUAGAAAUAAUCUUCUAUCUAACCAUCAAUGACCUAUCUAAUAAAUCCAUUUCUUACCUAAUAAACCCUAAACACACCUCACAGCUUAACCAUAAAUGACAUAUGCAUUUAUGUCCAUCGAAAAGAUGUGAAAACAUACCUCACAGCUUGCAAAGCGAAGAGGGAAUGCUUGUGGCUAUUGAUGCUCCUUACAGCCGUCGCUUUGGUCUUUACACCCCCACUCGCAGCUCAGAAUUUGCAAACAAAAAACACAAAGAAUUAGCAAAGAAUACUAUGACAUUUAACAAGUAAAGAAAAUUGGAAAUGCAAACAAACAAUUGAAAGAUAACAAGAAAAAAAUUAACCACUAACAUUCAAAUAUAUCAAUUGUAGCUUGAUAGAGAGCAAACAAAAGAGCAAACUAACAAUUAAGCACUAUCCAUCAAAUAUAUUAAUCGGAGUGAAAUUGAACUUAAUCCAAUAAUUCAAAACCAUCAGAUCAAAAUCGAAUAGAGAGACAAACGAAAGAGCAAAUAAAUACAGAUUCACAACGCAGGUGGAGAAAUUUCAAUUAGGAUUAGCGAUUCAACCAAACAAAAAAGAUUUACAGAGUAGAGAAAAAACUUGAUGCUCUAAUUCUUUUAUGCUCUUUUAUUUCACGAAAACACCAGAUACAAAGAAGAGAUCGCCGACCGGUAGAGACAUACAAAGCGACGGAG